rnacentral:rRNA from 1 species
CUACGUGCCAGCAGCCGCGGUAAUACAUAUGGGGCGAGCGUUAUCCGGAUUUAUUGGGUGUAAAGGGUGCGUAGGCGGGAAAAUAAGUCAGUAUGUGAAAUCCCUCGGCUCAACUGAGGAACUGCAACUGAAACUAUUUUUCUUGAGUGUUGAAGGGGAAAGUGGAAUUCCUAGUGUAGCGGUGAAAUGCGUAGAGAUUAGGAGGAACACCAGUGGCGAAGGCGACUUUCUGGGCAAUAACUGACGCUGAGGCACGAAAGUGUGGGGAGCAAACAGGAUUAGAUACCCUGGUAGUCCACACCGUAAACGAUGGAUACUAGGAGUUGGCAAAAAUAUUGUCGGUUCCGCAGUUAACGCAUUAAGUAUCCCACCUGGGGAGUACGACCGCAAGGUUAAAACUCAAAGGAAUUGACGGGGGCCCGCACAAGCAGUGGAGUAUGUGGUUUAAUUCGAUGCAACGCGAAGAACCUUACCUACUCUUGACAUCCAGA